rnacentral:tRNA from 1 species
GCCUUCGUGGCUCAGUUGGUUAGAGCGCCGGUCUCAUACCUCGCGAGGUGAACAAAUGAUCCUUCACGGAACCAUCCGGAGAUCGCCAGUUCGAUCCUGGCCGAGGGCA